AGGACGAACGCUGGCGGCGUGCUUAACACAUGCAAGUCGAGCGGUAAGGCCUUUCGGGGUACACGAGCGGCGAACGGGUGAGUAACACGUGGGUGAUCUGCCCUGCACUCUGGGAUAAGCCUGGGAAACUGGGUCUAAUACCGGAUAUGACCUGCUCUCGCAGUGGGGGUGGGUGGAAAGAUUUAUCGGUGCAGGAUGGGCCCGCGGCCUAUCAGCUUGUUGGUGGGUAAUGGCCUACCAAGGCGACGACGGGUAGCCGACUGAGAGGGUGACCGGCCACACGUGGGACUGAGACACGGCCCAGACCUCCGUACGGGAGCAGCGAGUGGGAAUUGGUACGAAGUAGGCGGCAGACGUCGA
rnacentral:rRNA from 1 species